AGUAAAGUCAGCUAACUAAGCUCUUGGGCCCAUACCCCAAAAAUGUUGGACAGACUCCUUCCUUUACUA
rnacentral:tRNA from 1 species